rnacentral:rRNA from 1 species
AUUACUCCUACGGGAGGCAGCAGUGGGGAAUUUUGGACAAUGGGGGCAACCCUGAUCCAGCCAUGCCGCGUGAGUGAAGAAGGCCUUCGGGUUGUAAAGCUCUUUCAGCCGGAAAGAAAGCGCAUGGGUGAAUAACCUGUGUGGAUGACGGUACCGGAAGAAGAAGCACGGGCUAACUACGUGCCAGCGCCGCGGUAAUAAU